CACUGUAAAAUGUAAUAGCUGAGCUUACUAAAAAGAUUAAGUAAACUUAACUUAUUUAAUUAAGUUUGUUAACCUUACUUAGUUUAACUAAGUAAUCCCAACUUUUUUCUAUGCAAACUCAAGUCAACUUGAUUAAACUUAACAGAUUAAUUUAGCUCAACUUAAAAUUUCAAGUAUUUUCAAAAAGGAUGACUGCACAGUAGGUGGCAGUAAUGCUCCCAAGGAGUAAGUGGUGGCUUAACUGAGUGGUUAACUGAAGAAGAUGACAACAGCACAUGGUCGGAUAAGAGCAUGAGGAGCAGGAGCUUGUUUCUUUGAAGAGAGUGCAUACCCUUCAUGGAAAGUCAGUAACGUUACUGUGGAGUACAACCAAGUCGCAAGCAAAAACCUCAAGCAAGAAUUGUUCUCAUCCCUUGCUAAACAUUGUUUUUGAAGAUUUUGAAUGAAAGAAAAGAAAUCUAAACAUCACUGAUGUCACUGCUCGGUGGAAGGUAGUUCUCUGUGGUCUUGCUAUCCUUCUUGCGGAAGACACUACAGACUUCCGGAAAACAAACAUGGACUGUGAUGGUGACCCACCUCAACUAUCAAUAGGAAUUCUCAGUCUGGUGCCGGAGGACAGACCCAUUUCUCCACAUGGUUUACAGCAAUUAUUUGGUAGGGUGUCACAGCCAUGGAUGGACUUGAGAAAGUAUCACAUGCCAUGUGUGUAGUUGUUGGACUGAUCGUUGUUUUAAAUAUGGAAUACCUCUUCACAGCUUAUUUUGAGUUGAUUCACAGGGUUUUUCUUUCCCUGGGGCACAAAUCACUAAAGUCAAAACUGCCAUCACUACAAAACAUACUAAUGUGAAGUAGUGUGUUUUGUGUGAAACAAGUCCGUGUUACUGUAGAUCUGUUGCAUUUUGGGGUUUUUAUUUUUUGUCAGCCUGGAUACAAGUUCCAGAAAAACUCAACUUUAAUUGCUGCAAAACUUUGAUGUUUUAGUUAAGAUGUAUUUUGCGUAUUUCUGAUGGCAGAAACAAGAUUGUUACUGUAGGUGUGUUGAUGCAAUUUGUGAUUUUUUAUCAGUCACAUGCCAACCUGGAUACAAAACCAAAACUGCAGUCACAAAAAAAAACUAGUUUUGAAUUUGUUUGUCAAGGUGUGUUCAUUGUGUUUGUAAUAACAGAAACAAGACUGUCUUAGGUCUAUUGUUGCAUUUCGGGUAUCCAGAUUGAUGGGUGACUGAACACAAACCCCUUUCUUGUUUGUGUGUGUGUGUGUGUGUGUGUGUGUGUGUGUGUGUGUGUGUGUGUGUGUGUG